ACCCUCAACCACUGCGCCACCAGGGAAGCCCUCCCCACCACACACCCCAAGGAAAGUACAGAAGAACAUAAAAAAGCAGGAAAAAUUUACUCAUAAUCCUAUUAUCCCAUCAAUCAUAGUGCGAAGAUAUUGGAACAUUUACUUCGAGCCAUUUUUCUGUGCCCCACACAUUACAUAAAAUGUUAACAAUGGGAAAGUUAGCCACCACGUCAUGAGCAGUCUUGUGGAGAAGUUUGUGUGAAAAGGAACUGAAACUUUUGACCAACUGCCCCCAAAGAAUGGAAGCCUGACAGCAACCACAGAGGGAGCUUGGAAGUGGAUCCUCCAGCCCCAUUGAACGUUCUGAUGACUGCAGCCCUGGCUGAGACUUGACUGCAACCUCAUGAGACAUCCUGAGCCACAGUCUCUCAGUUAGCCCAAUUCUGGGUUCUUGAUCCUCAGAAAUUGUGCGAGAUCGUAAAUAUUUGUUGUUUUAAGCUGCUAAGUUUUGGGGUAAUUUGUUACUCAGCAAUAGUUAACUACUAUAGUCUUACAUUAUCACAUUAAGUCCUCAUGACAACUCUAUGAAAGAUAGGGUUUGUUUCUCCCGUUUUUCAGAUGAGAAAAUUAAGGCUGAGAUGAAUGCAGUUGACUUCUCACAGGUGGAAAGUGACGCAGCUGCGAUUUGUCCUCAUGUCUAUUGGAUUCCAAAGCAGAGGGAACCUGGUUUUCUCGGCUGGAAUGUCUCCAGCUCCAGGGUGAAGGUUGAGGAAUUGAGGACAGGAGGAGAUCUCUUACUCUGAUGUGUUUUUUUUAUGCUUUUCCCCAUCCCAAUCACAUUAGUUAGUAGCUACUACAUCUAUUGUGUGUAUGUGAUUCAGGGACAAGUAAGUUUAUUAGAAAAAACAUUGGAGCUUUAAAAGGGGGAUACCUGAGCUCUUGAGCAACGUUGGACAAGUUCCUGUAGUUUUCUAGGCUUCAGAUAAUUUAUCCACUAUUCGGGGCCAAUAGUCCUUGUUCUACAUUCCUCGUCAGGAAGCCAUGAGGAUCAAGUGUGAAGGGACUUUGUAAAAUGUAGUGCUGUGAUCAUGGAAAGCCUCUCUCAGUCUUCAGGGGAGGCAGCUCCACACUGUCACCUCUGCACAAGUGGCCAGUGUUCCCUCUCCUCUCCCACCUGAGUCUAGGUUCAGGAGACAGAGAAUACUGAGAGAAACUGAGGGCCCUGACCCAUUUCUUCAGCUACAUCCCUCACCAUGACCUUUCUCUUAGACCACACUGUAGCCCUGCCGAACUAGUGGAAAAUUCCCCAAGCUUGCCAGGAUCUCUCUGUAUGCUGAGUUUUUAAUCUGUGUAGUUUCUUCUCCCUGGACGCUGUUCCCAACUUCUCCACCUGGUAUGGUCCUACUCAUCUUUCAAGACUCAUCUUAGAUGUCCCCACUUCAAGGAUGACCUGGUUCAAGGCCUCCUACUUCUUCUCUUGAUUAAGCACCAGUGUCCAGCCUGAGCUCUUGGCCUCCAGCUUCCCUUUUCCAUUCAAAGCCCCCAGGGUGCAGCCUGCAGCCUUUCUAAAACACAAAUCUUGUCAUGUCACUCCCUGCUUAAAAUAACCAGUCAAUUGAAUAAUCCAUCAGUCAAUGCUUCAAGGGCGCCUCUUUGCCCUCAGGAAGACAUCCAAAGCCUUCAGCUGGAACUCAAGGCUUGGGCCUCACUGGUACAUCCAGCCUCAGCUCUCCUCUCUCUCCUGAUGGCCUUGCACGUGCAGUACAUCCCAACCACA